UACGAAGGGGGCUAGCGUUGCUCGGAAAUCACUGGGCGUAAAGGGUGCGUAGGCGGGUCUUUAAGUCAGGGGUGAAAUCCUGGAGCUCAACUCCAGAACUGCCUUUGAUACUGAGGAUCUUGAGUACGGGAGAGGUGAGGUGGAACUGCGAGUGUAGAGGUGAAAUUCGUAGAUAUUCGCAAGAACACCAGUGGCGAAGGCGGCUCACUGGCCCGUAACUGACGCUGAGGCACGAAAGCGUGGGGAGCAACAGG
rnacentral:rRNA from 1 species